AGAGUUUGAUCCUGGCUCACAUUGAACGCUGGCGGCAUGCCUUACACAUGCAAGUCGAACGGCAGCACGGGUGCUUGCACCUGGUGGCGAGUGGCGAACGGGUGAGUAAUACAUCGGAACGUACCUUAUCGUGGGGGAUAACGCAGCGAAAGCUGUGCUAAUACCGCAUACGCCCUGAGGGGGAAAGCGGGGGAUCGAAAGACCUCGCGCGAUUAGAGCGGCCGAUGCCUGAUUAGCUUGUUGGUGGGGUAAAAGCCCACCAAGGCGACGAUCAGUAGCUGGUCUGAGAGGACGAUCAGCCACACUGGGACUGAGACACGGCCCAGACUCCUACGGGAGGCAGCAGUGGGGAAUUUUGGACAAUGGGGGAAACCCUGAUCCAGCAAUGCCGCGUGAGUGAAGAAGGCCUUCGGGUUGUAAAGCUCUUUUGUCAGGGAAGAAACACCGGCUCUAACACAGUCCGGGAAUGACGGUACCUGAAGAAUAAGCACCGGCUAACUACGUGCCAGCAGCCGCGGUAAUACGUAGGGUGCGAGCGUUAAUCGGAAUUACUGGGCGUAAAGCGUGCGCAGGCGGUUAUACAAGACAGGCGUGAAAUCCCCGGGCUUAACCUGGGAAUGGCGCCUGUGACUGUAUAGCUAGAGUGUGUCAGAGGGGGGUAGAAUUCCACGUGUAGCAGUGAAAUGCGUAGAUAUGUGGAGGAAUACCAAUGGCGAAGGCAGCCCCCUGGGAUAACACUGACGCUCAUGCACGAAAGCGUGGGGAGCAAACAGGAUUAGAUACCCUGGUAGUCCACGCCCUAAACGAUGCUGACUAGUUGUUCGGGAUUUACAUCCUGAGUAACGUAGCUAACGCGUGAAGUCAGCCGCCUGGGGAGUACGGUCGCAAGAUUAAAACUCAAAGAAUUGACNGGGACC
rnacentral:rRNA from 1 species